GACGAACGCUGGCGGCGUGCUUAACACAUGCAAGUCGAACGGGCCUUGUCCCCUUUUUUUUGGGGGUGGGGUUAGUGGCGAACGGGUGAGUAACACGUGAGUAGCCUGCCCCUCACUUCUGGAUAACCGCUUGAAAGGGUGGCUAAUACGGGGUGUUCUGGCCUGCUCGCAUGGGUGGGUUUGGAAAGAUUCGACCGGUUUUGGUUGUUUUGGUGGGGGAUGGGCUCGCGGCCUAUCAGCUUGUUGGUGGGGUGAUGGCCUGCCAAGGCUUUGACGGGUAGCCGGCCUGAGAGGGUGGGCGGUCACACUGGGACUGAGACACGGCCCAGACUCCUACGGGAGGCAGCAGUGGGGAAUAUUGCACAAUGGGCGCAAGCCUGAUGCAGCGACGCCGCGUGAGGGAUGGAGGCCUUCGGGUUGUGAACCUCUUUCGCCAGUGAAGAAGGUCCUGCUCUUUGUGGUGGGGUUGACGGUAGCUGGGUUAAUGAAGCGCCGGCUAACUACGUG
rnacentral:rRNA from 1 species